rnacentral:rRNA from 1 species
AUUGAACGCUGGCGGCGUGCUUAACACAUGCAAGUCGAUCGGUAACGCGGGGGCAACCCUGGCGACGAGAGGCGGACGGGUGAGGAACGCUUGGGAAUCUGCCUAUCAGCGGGGGACAACCCGGGGAAACUCGGGCUAAUACCGCAUACGCUCUACGGAGGAAAGCCGGGGACCGCAAGGCCUGGCACUGAUAGAUGAGCCCAAGUCGGAUUAGCUAGUUGGCGGGGUAACGGCCCACCAAGGCGACGAUCCGUAGCUGGUCUGAGAGGACGAUCAGCCACACUGGGACUGAGACACGGCCCAGACUCCUACGGGAGGCAGCAGUGGGGAAUAUUGGACAAUGGGGGCAACCCUGAUCCAGCGACGCCGCGUGGGUGAAGAAGGCCUGCGGGUUGUAAAGCCCUUUCGGUAGGGACGAAAGCUCUCGACCUAACACGUCGGGAGGUUGACUUAACCUACAAAAGAAGCACCGGCUAACUCUGUGCCAGCCGCCGCGGUAAAAC